ensembl:lncRNA
GGGGCCGGGGCGCUCCUCCUCUGCAGCGGAGAGGGAAAGGGAAAGCGAAAGGGAAAGAGCAGGCGAUGUCCCCGCAGUGGGGCCGGGGCAGGCGGCACACGCAGCCCGCAGCGGGGGGCAGCAGGUAGGCGAUGCUGGAGAUGGCUGGGACCGAUGGAGCCGAGCUGAUGGACCUCGAGAAAGAGGGCACGUGGUCAUACCCAGGAGAUGCACAGGGUGAGGUCCCACCAGGACACCCCUCACCACGGGGAUGCAGCAGUUGAUUCUGGGGUCCCGUGGCAGCUCCACAUCCACAGUGACCAAAGGGCCCACAGGGACAGUGGCCCUGGAGGUAGCUGGUGACUGAAGACUGCUGGAUUGCUCCAUACCUGGAUGAGAUGUGUGAGGUCGCCGGGGAUGCUGGUGGCUGUGGGUCUCCUGAUGACCACAGCCAAGGCAGGCCAGGUUGGAUGGGGCCUUGGCAACCUGAGCUGGAUUUCAGCCUCCAGAUUUCAGCCCCCCAAAUGUGCCAAGCGUGAACCUUCAGCGAGAGCUUCAUCCACGCAACCCAUGCUGGACUAACUCAUCCCAGUCCAACCGUUCCCUGCAGCAGGAGUUUUGCGUUCAUGGAAGCACCUGGUGUAUUAGAAGUUGGUUUUGGAAUGCACUCACAGUGCCAACAGCCACAGUGACCGUCCUGCUGCCGGGCUGAGCAGUGGGGGGCUCUGCACUGGGGGAUGGAGCCUGAGCUGUGGCCUUGGGACCUGGCUGAGUUUCCCUGCUUCCAGCUGGGGGAUGGGGACAUCAGGAACAGGACCCAUCUAGGAACAGGAGCAGGUGCUGCCUUGCUUACCAUGGGGCUUUAAAGGCCAGGCUCACCCCAGCAAGGCAGUGGGUCCUCAGUUAGCUGCCCAGCUCCUUGUAAGGUCAUAUUUGUCAUCUCAAAAUACAGUUUGCUGUAGAACAGAGAAUAUUUAGAAGGGAUUUGAUAAGUAACAUCUGCUGCUGUACUGAAAUUUCAGUUCGAAGUGCUAAAAACUUUAAAAAGAAAGAGGUUUGGGUAAAAAUAAAAGGUCUCUGGAGAGGUCUCCUUGGCAGGAUCCUCCUCUCCUCCUUACACACAGCAGAUUUGUUCAUGUUUGCCAUUAUCCAUCAAACCAGAGCGCAGCAAAGGGCAGCUUUCAAGAGAUGAACCUGGAGGAGAUAAUAUUUCACACCGCAUAAAAUGCACCUCGGGAAUUUUCAGUUCUUCUUCCCUGUUACAUUACAAGGGCCUUCAUAAAAAGUGUCACAGCUCACGAGCUAAAAAAGAAAAAGAAGAAAAGAGAAAAAAAAAAAAAAAAGCAGCAGCUUGUGGCUUUGGAUGCAUUCAGUGCGCGUUUGUGGUCGGCGUUUCCCAGGCUGCUCGGGGGUGAGCGCCAGGUCGGCCCUCGCACGGCGCUCUGCAGGCGCUGUUUCUGUAUGAGUGAUAGCAGGCACUGAACGGCAGCACUGCGGCUGAAGGCUCCAUCCUGCCCAGGGGGUUGGGAUGGGGAUGCAGCUCCCAGCCGCCCCGCUGCUGCUGCUGUGUUCAAUGAGGUGGGAGUGGGCGCUAACCCGGGGUUUGAGGGAUAUAAGUAGGUUUUGCCUCCUCUAACGGAGAGGUUUGGCUUCAUCCUCGUUCAACUUCACUGCCACAAGGUGAGAUGGGGAACGGAUGGGUGAGCGUACAAAUGAGGAGGUGCUGCAGAGCAGCCUCAGUGCACAAUGUGGGGCAAUGUAAGUCACCGAGUGCUGCCGUAGGAAGAGGUGGGAGGCUCUGGUUUGGCAGUUACUAUAGCAAUUAACCCAAGCCCAGGGUUCCCCUGGGUACAGCCCUGGCGGUGCCUGCAUGCUCGCUGCAGAUGGGUUGUUGUGGUGCUGGGGUGUACUUGUGUGCUUGAUCUGUGUGUAAACACAAGAAGGCAGAUAUACAAACACUGCCCUGCACUCAACCUGGCUGCUCUAAAACAAACCAUCAUUAGAGGGAGGCAGUCCAGGAGGUCCAACCCUGACGCACACGGCUGUGCCUGCUGCCAGCCUGCUGCACCGAUGUGUCUUGCUUCCACAGAGCUCAAUUCACCGCACCAGAAGUAGUCCUAAAACCCAACACAAGGGACAGAUCCUUUGGUUUUCCAUAUUUUCUCCCCUGGGUAGGAAACAGGUCAGGUCUGCCAGCAGAACAGACCGCAGCAGAUGGGUUGCUUUCCUACUGCACUUUUUUGCAUGAAGGAAGAUGAUACCUUACACGUGAGGUGCCACCUCAGUCAGUCACUGCACAAUGCCUUUCCUUGUCCCCUCCAUGCCCUCAGCAGUCAGACAUCUGACUCCGAUUGCUCUCUUUCCCACUUGAUGUAAGGAGUAUUGUGCACGAAGAGAAGUGCACGGAGGUGAAACCCUCUGAGAAACAUUGCGGCCACUUCUCUUUUCCCAUCAGCAGAUAUUGCUUCAGUUCCCAUUUCCUACUAUUGACUUUUGUUGCCUUUGGGCCCUGAUCACUGGCUGCUUGCUAAGGAUUUCUGAGCCUUGGACCAUGACCUAAUUUCACUAUUUAAAAACAGAUCUUCAGUAUUCCUAUUGUGCUUUGUCUUUGAAUGGGCAUUUCUGCAAAACAGUUCCAUUUUCUCUGCCUGCAAGCAACACAAGAUCGAGCAAGGCGCUCACACCGUGGUACCAGCAGGGCCCAGCCAUGGGAACAAUCCCUGUCCCCCCCAUCCGGAGCCCUCUGCCCACCUCCCUCCGAUCAGACCCCGUGCUCCCCCCAGCCCUUCAUCUUAAAGAAAAACACCACAAUCACCACUGUGUAUCUCAGACGCCCUGCAAAAGCUGUGAGUUGCAGACCGCCAGAAAACUGCUCAGACGGUCACAGCGGCUGAGCAAUGCUGGCUCUCACCAUCACCGCUCCGCUGCCGUCCUGCUGCUGCUGCCCCAGGCCCUGCGACCUUUGCAGUGAUUAUUUUCGGUCCUGCGGAAAAGGAAAUAGGAAGUAGAGCCACUCAGAUGUGUUUUCGCACACCGCGGGGCUCUCCCAUGCUCAGACAGCACUGCUCGCUCUGCGGAGAGCUCUCGUUGCCAUUUAUUCGCUCUGGGAUGUUGCAAUCAGACCAAAACGGCAGCGCGGCUACCUGAGGGUGGAAGUGGCUGAGGAAGCAGAGAGCAGUCCCGGCAGUGGGGAUGCACCGCUGAGGUCAGAGUGGGACACAGCUUGAAAGAUGAGCACGGCUGGGCUCCAGGGCUUGGGCUGCAACCACCCUGCUGUUCUGGAGCCUCUGAUGCCUGGCUCAGAAACGUAUCUAAGGAGGUUUGUGUGUUCUUGUUCAAACUGCACUCAUUCUUGGCCUUAAUCCCACCUUCCCCUCCAACAGACAGGCUUUGGGUUUGGCUCUGCUUGCUGCCACACAGCGGUGCUGAGGACUGCCUCUGCUCAGCAUUAAUAGAGGGUCUGAGCAGCUCUGGUGGGUGCCCAAAAAGGACAGGGACCAGCUCCAGGCACAAGGCAAAACGGAGCUUCUGCUCCCCAUUACUUCCUUAUGCAUUCAUAUACAGAGGACAACGGUGUGGAGGCCAACAAGUUCAGAGGUGCUGCACACCUCCUUCCAGCUCUGCUCAUCAGCCUCACCUCCCGUUUUCUUCAUCAACAAGUGAGGAAUGGUCUGGUGUGCUUGUUCUAGAAAUAAUGUGCAUUCCAAGGCACUUCCCACACUGCAUAGAGGCAGAGGGACUCUUUUACUUUGGUUUUCUGCAUCUAGAUUGUUCCACUGAGGAGGAUUCUUGAGAAAUUAAAGCCAUUUGUGUGCAUGGCUGCAGCACUAAUAAAACCCAAAUGUGGGCAGAGGUUCUAGGAGCUUUGCUCUUGGUGACUUGCCUUGUCUCAGAUAGCAAAUUUAAGGCUUUAACAUGAAAUAAUUUGGCAGAAAAGCCACACAGAGACUGAUGGUGACUCAGCUCUGCUGCCGAAGGCGCGUAGAGGGCACUGGCUGGGAGCUCUGCUGUGUGUGCAGAACAUGAGAGCUGUGCUGGCAGAGCUGUGAGCGUGGGGGAGCAGAAGGAGCUGACUGAAGUACCAGCAAAACUUUACAAGAACUCAGCUCAGCUGAAGGGAUGCUGGAGGAGGCAGCUGCUGGUAACAGAGAUAGGAAACAGGUGGUAAAUCAGUGCCUAAUGAGGGGAGAGCAAAGAACAGCCUCAGUUGUGGUUACCUGUCCUGUGUUGGAGGAAUGGAGCAGAGCUGCAUGAAGGUCGGUGAUCUCUUCUUUGCGUUUGCUGGCUGUGGGCUUGGUGGGAUGAUGGAAGAAUGCCUGGAAGGUAAUGGCAAAAAUAAAUUCUUGCUCUGUCUGACCUGUGGGGCUGUGAGUGAUGGAGAUCAGGUGGUGGUGGUGGUGGUAGGAUGCAGAGUGAGAGGGAAGGAAGAAGACUGGUUAGCUUGGAUCCUCAGCAUGGCCUUAUGCCCUCAGGCAGCACCUCGGCUUGCAGCAAGUAUGAGGCAGAGGGCAGCAGCAAGGUGUGCUCUGGAAAUGCUCUGCUGGAAUGUGGUUUGGGCCAGGGGGAUGUUGGCAGUGUGAGCAUUUCCACUGCCACCUCCCUGAGCACUGCGGGCUGUUGUCAGCAGCGGAAUCACAAACAGCCACAAAGGACGCGCCCUGAUUUAUGCAUCAAAUACCAGGAAAGGCUUAAAUUCUGUUUGUCACUCAGCAGAUGGUGACGGUUGCCCCAGUAUGUGAAAUAUUUCAUGCCUGACACCUCAAUUCAGGAAACAGUGGUUUGCUCAGCAGAGGCGCAGGAGGCAGCGAGCUGUUAUCGAGGGUAACAUUGCCCUUUGCUUCUUUCUCUCUGCUGACAGAGUUUGUUUUCUAGAGCAGUGCUGUGCCCAUGGGCACAUGCAGUGGGGCACACCCCCAAACCGUGUUGGUUUUUUGGGUGUUUGGUACCAUAGUGAGUUCGUUUUCCUGCAGGGCCUGGCUGCUGCCUGCAGCCCUCACUUGCUGGGUUCCUGUUCCCUGGGCACCUCGUGCCUGAGGUUUGCUGAACCACAGAGAGCUCAUUGCAAAACUGGGCCGUGGAAAUCGCCCCUGGUGCUCUGAGCUGUUGUCCUGUAAGGCUGGAGCAAAGCCCUUACAGAGAAGGCAGCAGCAGGGGGGUGCUGCACCAUCCUCUCACCUCCCACCUGUGCCCUGGAGGUCCAGUGCCUCAAAGCAGAACCAAGCAAAGGAAGGUAGGCAUCUUCCUCCUUAUUCUCACCUGGGUUAUCUUCCUGCAUGUCCUUACACAGGCCAUGCUAUGACCAGAACUUCCUCUUGUGCAGACAGAGGAUGUGCUGCUCUCAACCUUGGAGGUGCUUCCUGGUUUCCCAGGGGGUUGGCAACACCGUAACCCAUCUGGAGGUGGUUGUGCAGCUGUGGAGGUGCAGGGCUUUGCUCCAUGGUGCACAGACCAACAACCUUUGUGCUGUGCCCUCUGAACCCCCUGCAGGUGCCCCAAAUCCCAGUGUCACCUCAUCAGGGAGAAGGAACAGCCACCAGAACUGGAGGACGCCCCACAAACACAGCAGCCCUGGCCCACAGGGUGGGACUUGACAGUCCUCAUGAUGUCUUGUCUGGCGUCAGCAGUGUGAAAAUGGGUUGUACCAGCUCUGAUUGGACUUUUUUUAUUCAUAAUUACCCCUUAAACUCACUCUGAGUGUGCAUUGAGCUGGGGAGAUGCAUGUAUUCUGAGUGAAGCACUGGGAUUCUCCAUGCUCUGAAGGUAGGAGAUAUGGGCAGGCGUGUAGCUAUUUCCUGCAGCAGCAUCCCCGUGCAAGCAGGGUGUGGGUGCAAAACACUCUUGUUCAUGGAAAGCAACAAAAACCUUCUGCAGAGCACUCAGCUUGCAUCUCUGUAAUACAGGAAAUCCUUGAUUUGGGUCUGAAUGCAAGUUACAGUGCAAUGUAUUUCUGUGGUAUGGUGUGAAUGCACCAGCUUAGAGCCCUGGAGCUGCAUCCUGCUCCCCACCCCAGGUGGGCUCACAGCUGUCCUGCAGAGCCCUCCCCAGCAGAGGGAGGCUGCCUUGAGAGGCCCUGGCCUCUUAAAAUCAAAGGAAAUUUUAAUGGUAUCUUCCCUAAAAUCAACAGCUACAAAAGGACCGUUUCAGUAAUAAAUAGAGCUUUAAUUAAGGCCACCGCAGAGCUGACAGCUGCUCAGUCACAAGAUCUGACUUAAUAAUAGGUCCAAGAACAUACCUUCUCCUCACUGUGGGUUUGUUUUAAAAACAACCCUCCUCCCUUGUCUGCUGCUUGCUCUCAUCUGUCUGCGCCGUGGAGCAGAUGCUGCUCUGUGUGAUGAGUGUACAGCAGCAGGGAGCACUGUGGUCCUCAUGCAGCUGCCGCAGCCCCACGGCUCAGGCGGUGCUUUGCAGGCAGCAUCCAUGGGGCUUUGCUGUGGCUCAGGUGUUGUUGUUUGCUGGGGUGAGCGUAAUGGAUGUUAUGCAUUAGUAGAUAGGAAGCGGGUGCAGUCCACAUGCUGCUCUCUGCGUCCUUUGGCAGCAAAGGUGGAGAAAACAAAGCAGUACCUGCCUGGACUUGGCUCCCAGUUCAUUUCCUCUUUCUGAAGAUGACUGGAAGACCUUUCCAGCAUUCAGCUCAUCGCAGAACAAACCCUGUGAAAUAUAUCCUUGCGGUGCAAGUGUGAGACCUGGGCAUGUUCCGUGUUGUGCCUGUGGUUAGCCUGGGUCUUGUUACCUAAAAGCACAGCUUGCUCCUAGCUGCUGUGUGUCAUGUUUGUGCUGGGCUUGCUUUGAAGCAGGGCCAGCAUCUUUAUGCUGUACUUCAUUCGCUGUGCUGCCACUGCUGAACCACCACUGAUCUGCAGGGAGCAAUGCCUCCCUCUGCUUUUGGUUGCCCAGAGACAAUUGCCAUUCUGCUCCUGGCAGGGACCUGCCCAACCACUCCUUUAACCUCCAUUACCUUUAACCGCUGCCCCACCUGCCUUAGCACAGGUUCCCAAGUGGGCAGAAGACAGAUAGCCCUCUUCCAGUGGCUGAGCUCUGUGAAAUGCACCAAGCUCUGUUCUGGGGGUGGUUCCCCAGCAGCAGUGCCACAUCUCCGCUCACUGCAGCAUUGGGUGGAGCAGCACGCAGGGUUGUGGUUUUGUACUGUGAAACAGAGAGCAAUAGGCAAGAGCUGUACCUGAGGUGUGAAAUUUCCUACACUGAAAUAGGGCUGUUGCUUCUCUUACCCUCCUGCUGUAGCUGAGCGCUGCUCUGUGCAACCAUCAGCACAGUCCUUGUGUGUUCCUUCUAUGCAACACAUGCACUGUGCGGUCCCUGAGAACAUCCCACAGCCCAGCCCUGGCAACGGGCAGCUGCAGUUCUGGCAGUAGGAACUAUGUCUGUUUGUUUCCUUGUGGCAGAAUUUUCCCCUAUUCCUGGACAUCUCCUGACAAACCAAUGCCUACUCCAUCCAUGCGUGUCCCUGUGCUUACUUCUGGCUUCAUCUAGCCUGCCCAUCCCACGGAAGGGAAGGUUAACAGUCCUGUGUCCAUGCAGUCUGGAUCCUGGUGCCUCAACUCGUGCUGGGUGCAGGGUAAGGAGAGCAGGGGCCACCACUUGCCCUCUGCCUGGCCAUGCUGCUACCCAUCCCCAUGGCUGCAGUGCUUGUUACUUACUCAUCCUUCUGCCUUUCUUCUAUGAAGUGGCACUGAUUUCCACCUUGCUGAGCAGGGCAACUAGUGGAAUGAGAGUAUAAUUGCCCUCAACUAGCAGUUCAGAAUCCCUAAUGCCAUGGUUUCACACCUCUGUUCACACCCAGCCAGUGAACUGAUGCACCCACCAGCAGUGGGACUAAUGCCUCAGUGCUCAGGGCAUGGAGAAAGCCCGUGGACUUUGGUGCAUGGUGAAGGAUGGGGGCUUCAGGUUUGUAGAUGUUUUCUCCCUUCCUAGGGAAGAUUUUCACCAAUCCAUGCUCUGAUGUUGACUUCCCUGUAGGCAUUUCAGCCAAGAAGCCAACCCCAUACUGUGCAGUGGGACAGGCUCCUUUCCCCAGCCCUGUGCCCAGUGGGGCAGCAGAGGGCUUUUGUCAGCAGCAGUCAGCAAUGAGCCGCUCCCUUUGUGCCAUGUUGGAAGUGUGGGGCUUUGUGUUGUGUGUACAGAUGUGGGGGAACCUUGGGAACCAGCAGGAAACGAUGGUUCAGUGCAGCCAGAAUGACAUUUGCAGACCUGCACAUCUAGCUGCUAAAUCAGCAGCUGUUUGACCUUGCAAUACUAACAAGAGUUUACUAUUAGCUCCAGUUAUAAACUCAUACCUUUGGUCUGAAGUAUGGCUGCCCUUUAUAGGUGUGAUAUCUUAAACCACGUGGUUGGCUGGAAAUGUGUCCAAUUAUCAGACCCGAUCAGCAUGGCAAACAAAGCUGGGGCAGUAACUGUGGGCUGUGCUGCCUGCGGGGCAAAGCUCACCGAGGUGCCUCUGCUGUGGGCACUCAGAGCAGAAGGUUUCUGGGCACAGAACAGCUCUGCACCACUCUGAGGGUGCUGCUGAUGGGGGGCUGGGAGCUCAGAAGGGUGCUGAGCAGAGCACCUUAAUCAGAGCUGUGAAAAGCAGCAAUGCUUUAUUUGUAGGUGAAGG